rnacentral:rRNA from 1 species
CACGGGUGAGUAACGCGUAGAUAACCUGUCUUCAUGUCUGGAAUAAUACGCCAAAGGGGUACUAAUACCGGAUAUCUUGCUUUUCAUAAGUUAUGCAAGCAAAGGUGGCCUCUGCAUAUGCUACUGCAUGAAGAGGGGUCUGCGUACCAUUAGCUAGUAGGUGGGGGUAAUGGCCUACCUAGGCGACGAUGGUUAGCGGGUCUGAGAGGAUGAUCCGCCACACUGGCACUGGAACACGGGCCAGACUCCUACGGGAGGCAGCAGUGAGGAAUAUUGCGCAAUGGGGGAAACCCUGACGCAGCGACGCCGCGUGAGUGAGGAAGGCCUUCGGGUCGUAAAGCUCUGUCAAGAGGAAAGAAGUGUACAAUGGCUAAUACCUGUUGUAUUUGACGGUACCUCUAAAGGAAGCACCGGCUAACUCCGUGCCAGCCGCCGC